UGUCAUGUACGCAACCUCGGGAAACUAAGCAGCUGCUGCUUGUUUGUGUGUCAUGGUCACAACUGUUUUUCUUCCACAUCCUACUCUCUCUACUUUUAAUUGAUUUUGGGGGGGUGGGCUGCUUUUUCUGGGGAGUUUUCCCUCACCGGUGUUAUUCCACACCUGUCCACCAGGUGUCAUCUGUGUGGGCUCCUGUUACACAACUCUGCAUAACUGUGCCAAUGUGCUUCCUGCCUCCACAGCUGUCCCACAUCACAAAUUACUUUCUAAAUGCAUAAGUAGAGCUGUUUUCUCAGUUGCAAGGUUGUUUGCAGUACAUCUGUUAAUUAUGCUGAGCUUUCGUUUGUGGAAUUAAGUCUUACCAUCUUGGUGUCUUAGAUAUGUGGAUCACACUCAGGGAAUCUCAGGGACUCAUGUUUACCUGUUGCUGAGGAAGUUCAUGUCCGGUAUGUUCUUUAUUUUAUGAAGGCAGACAUCAAACCGACACCUGUUCUCAUUCACCUUUUGAGCACAGCAGAAAUGUGAAGGCUACUUGACAUUUAUGGAAGUGUGUGUGAUAUAUCUUUGUUGCAUGUCUUACAUUUCUUUUUAAAGGUCAUCAGAAAAGCAUCAAGUGAUUUUAAAGAUCAUAAACUGGCAACAUCGGCUGAGACACUUUGAAUUAAAAUGCAGAAUUUGAAUUUAAAAUGUGUUAAAGGGGACAAAGGUUGGGAAAUGGCUCCCAUACUUUGCUGUACUUAUCUAUGCUGCGCGCUCCCACUCUGGCAUGGACAGGAUAAACACCUCAUACUUUGCUGUUCUCUCAAUAAUCCCACUUGGCAGCCAUGUGGCACAUCCGAUGGAGGGAAUGCAGCUCAUAAGCAGAUAGGCCGUAACAGGCGUGGAAUCUGCUCGGAACUGAUACGUUCAGAGUACAUACAUGCCCGGGGAAACAAACAAGGAAAUGCAUAUGCAUGCUAAUUGAAAGUGUUUCUACAAUUACUCCAGUUGCGGUGGAAUCUGAUUAUUAGCAUGUACUGUAGCUGCAGACCUUCUUAUGGUCUGAGGGUUUGCAAGUUUAGAAAAGCUCUAAUGUCUGCCAUUUUAAAAUGACAGUGCGUGUUAGUAACAGCUGCACACACAAACCGCUGACUUAUGCUCAUCUGCACCUACCAAUGUCAGGUUUUUGUUUUUCCCUACUGCUCCGGCCUCUCUUUCAUUCCCUCUAAUCUGCAGCCACCUGCUUCUCUAAAGUCUUACUUAGUUACUUAAGUAUAGUAACCCUAAGUAACUGCCAGACUCACAUCCCGCUGAGGCAACCAACUUUACACACCAGCACCUAUUUAUGCUCUCUUUGUGUGAAUUUAAUGAUGGGGGGAAAUCAUCACACACAAAGCAUGCAUGCUUAAUUUUGUGCCUCUGUUGUUAAACACACAAACAAGGCUCAUGAUUGAUGACAGUGCUUUGUCUUCUGAACUUGGCCAAAGACAGAGAGAGUACACACACACACGUGUGCACACACAUGCACACUAGCCUUGGUGCUAGGUCUGUGCAUCUAUUACAUUAUGUUUCACAUCUCAGGUGUGCAAGUAAAUCAUCUUAAACAAAAUCACAUGCAGGGGGAGCCUUUUGUUACAUUAUGCUCACACAAAACCUAUCAGAUCGCUGUCACCGUUGCUCUGAGCUGCAGGGGGAAUUCAUUCAUGCUUCCAAGUCCAGAUAGUCAAAAAUGUUGGAUGCCAAAUCACAACUCCCCGCUCAGAGAGAAAACAUGUCUUUGUUGAUUCACAUAAUGGAAUUUAGCACAGAAGCAGGAGACACACAAAUAACCAGUAAUUCUUCUGAGAUUUUAUCACAGCCAAUACUGGUUUUCAGUGAAGCUGGACAUAAAACGCCAGAUAAGGAUCCAGACUCAGGCAAAAGAGUGUUUUUAGUUUCACACGUUUGGAUCUCUGACAAGCAGUAAAUGUUAUGCUCUUCCCCGGCCAAUCCUUUCUUAUUUCUAUUGUUUUUACCAUAUUAUAUGUAAACCUGUCUCAUAGAUUACAUGAGAUGCUACCUGUUCCAUAGCAGGUCAGUGCCACAAUAUGUACCCAUCCAUAUCAUGACACACCGGCCCACUGUGUCCAUUUCACAGAUGCAGAAGUUGCAGUAAAUUUCAGUAAUCUGCAGUAUCAAGCCAACAUGAAGAUAAUCACGGGAAAGCAUUUAAACAGACAUUAUUAUACACAUUAGCCACCUAGCUUAAUCGAUUCUGACGAUUAAGGAUCCUUGAAUUAAUACACUGACUUUGUGGCUUUAAAUUAUCUCCCCCUGCUGGUAAUGCAAUUUCUGUAUGCGUGUGCAUUUCAAAUUUGGAGAGGCAAAGCGUGAAGUGGACACGGUGGACCAACAGAUACUGGGUUGACCCAUCACCUGUCAAAUAUGAGAUGCCGUUCUUAAAGGCAGCUAUGUGAUCGUAUUAUUAAUGAAUGGUCUUCAGUGCUGCCCAUAAUUUAGACGUGGAAGGAUUACUGACAGUAAUUGCUUCUAGGUUAUUAUUCCAUCACUGCGGCUCUGUUGAAGAUGACAUGAAUAGAAGGUCAUUUAAUGGACUCCAAGAGUGAUUACAAAACAUUACAUAAACUAACUUUAUCUUAAUGACAUUCGAGUUCAGAAUAUCAAAUGCAACAUGCUACGCUAUUAAGAAUUGAUGUCUAAAAAUAGAUUUUUGACUAUGCUGCAAAUGCACAGUCAGUGUCAAGGACGUGUGCUUUGUAUGAUGCUCACCGGAGAGCGGGGAGGGGUGGGGGGGCUAAAAAUGCUAGCAAAAUAAUGUGAGAUGAGUUAGGUUUGCUCUGCUGAGAAUGUGUGUGCACGCAUGUGUGUCUCCUCUCUCUUAUUUACCACUUUGUGUGAGACAGUCUCUAAAUACUGAACAGCUCCUUUGAGAAAACAGAAAUAGGAAUGCGGAUGGUUUAAUAUUUACCCCUCGUCUCUUACUCCUCUAUUACCUUCUUCUCUCAAAUACAUAAAGCGAUACUUUAUCUUCCUUCAGACAUCACAAGGCUCAUUAUGUCUGUUUUUCAUCUCCUAAUAAAAUAAGAAAUCCGUCUUGUCUACAAUCAACAGCCCAAGCAGGCUCUGUAAUUCAGUAAGACUAUUGACCAGUCUCUGUUUGAGAAGACGUGGAUGAAUCGGAACGCUCAGUGUGGCGCUUAAGCCAUGUAGUCUGUCCCUCAGUCUCAAGAUACUUGUGAUUGAUGUCCUGGGACGUAACUAUUGAACAGCAAAUCCCACUCCAAUUUAUGGCACUAAGAACAUAAAAUGACUCCCCAGGCCAGAAUACAUCUGAAUUAGGAAAAGGAGAGCAGAUCUGUCGAGGCUGUCUGAAAAUACUCCAUCAAACAGUGAGAACAUCAAAGACUUAAUUCCAAGCGACACUUAAUGACAGGAACGUAUUUCUGUGAGAGACGGAUGACAAUGAAUACAGACAGGUUUUACUUUGAAAGUACAAAUAAAGUCAGUGUCUUUUGUUUCAUUUGUGACAUUUGAGCAACAACAUGUAAUUUCAAGAAGGUUAUCGAUAUAUGCUGAGACCUGCUGCUCUUUCUGAGUGUUGCUACCGUAGAUUUGACUCAAGAAGAUUACCGGUGUCUAAAAACACAAGCAAGAAGUAAAGGCAACAUCACAGCAUCAUGUAGCUGCAAGCCGUAAGGUACAGACGGGUUUUGUUACUUUGUUAUUUAUUAGAAUAAAUAACACCAAAAAUAUCACCUAAAAAAUAACGUGAAUCGAGUUUUUUCUCAAUCUACACUUGAUUAUAAUCUCAAACAGGAUUAACUCAGAGUGGUAAUCAGAGGAAACGAUCAUUUUGUUCAUUCAGCCUCUCGUUUUUUUUGUUCUGUCAACGUUUGAGCACGAGAUUAUAAGAAGCAAACUUUGAUUUAAAACAAAUCUUUCACUGUAUCAAACAUCCCGUGAACUUUAUUUAACUAAAUGUAUACCAUAGUUUGAAAUACUUUUUGUAAAUAAACACUGUGUGUACAGUAAGUUCAUUUGGGAGUUACAUUUUCAUUUGCAGAGCCAUUAGCAGUUUGGUAGCCCAGUCUCGCUUUAAACAGUCAUUGACA